CUGAGUUCUCAAUUUUGGUGGGGCCAUUCGGAAACACAGCCAUAAAGAAUAAUAUUCCGAGUAUAAGACUUGUCUUAUAAUUAUGUUUACUCAUGGAGGUACAUAUAUGAUACAUAAAUUGCAUAUUUGGUUACAGGUGUACCAUAAACAAUUGACCUUCAAAAUUUGAAUUUGUCUUCUUUUACACCUCCCCAAGUCGAAACCGUCGUACAAAGUCUGUAUAAGUAGAUUUUCCAUUUGUUGCAUUUCUCUUAUGCUACUCGCUAAGCUAAAACUUUCUAUAACUCAAAGAUUUUUUUUAACUAUAUUAAAACCUCAAAAUUUGAAAUGAACGUAAAAUUUUAUAGUACACUGUACGCUCUAAAGUUAACUGAGUAAGGAGGAAAAUUGAAACAUUCUGAAAACAAAAGAAAGAUUACUUGUAUAUUCUACGAGCAGAACGAAGAAGAAGAAAAAAGAAGAAGAACGGACAUUGCGAAGAAAAAUCGUUGGGAAUAUAUUUUCAAAGUAGAAAAGAAAGAAAUGUAAAACUGGAACUGGGGGAAUAAAAACAAAUAGAACUUCAAAAAGAAAAGUACAAUGAAGGAUGAAACGUUACAAUAUAAUUUACAAUCUAAAACAGAGAGAAAGUGGUAGAAAAGGAAAUUGUUUACGGUAGGUUUUGAGGGUAGAUUAAACUAGGAAAGAGUGAAGAAAAGUUCGUAUGUACUCUUCUGAUAAAGCGAAACAAAGUGUGUUUUGUGUUCUUUGAUAGAUAAAGAGAAAAAUGAAACCGUUCAUUGCAUAACCUAUGAUGAAUGAUUGAAAAAUACAGAAACACUACAGAAUCAUUCUCAAACAUAUGAGAAUAUCAUAUUUCUAAGUAACCUGGCCCGUUCCAAAAAGAUCCUCGUAACGUCAAUGACAAUAAAACCUAAAGUGAUCACAGCAACGGUCAACACAUUGCUAAAGAGGUACAUAGAUAACAAAGCAGCCGCAAGGAAAGAAUUCGAAUAAAAAGAAACCAAAAGAGAAAAAAAGGUUAUCCGCUGCAACGGUUGACGUCAGCGAAGAGAGAUGCAGGGGGAAACAAAACGAGCAGGUUAUCCUCUGCAUAUAUCAAGAGGGAGGAAAAGAGACAGCGAAGAAGAAAACAUAAAAGAGAGAAAGGAGGAGGGAAAAGUUACUAACUAUAUGGUUUGAAGUAAGAAAAGAAAGAGAAAGCAAGAAAAGAAGAAGCGUUCGAAAGAGAAAAUGGAGGGAGAAGAGAAGACGCGAAGGCAAGUCAAAUGUUAGCGAGUGUACGGCGAUGGAACGUCUUUAAGACCAAGGAGGAACUUAUAUAAGAAAGCAAGAUGGCAACCGGUUGUCCCUGAGCCACGACCGGCAUUUAUUUGCACAUUUUUAUCUAUUUUUGAGCCGACCAAAAAACUUCGCGCAACCAGUUCGCCCGAUGGCGCACAUGGGUCGUGCCUCGCACCGUCCAGAUUUUUCUUUCCCAUGGACGAAUGCGUUUUUAUUGUCACCAAAGGUGUCACACCAUCGAACAUGUAACAUUCUUCGUUACAUUGUCUCUUUUUGUAUAAUCUUCCAUGAAGAACGUUAAUCUGGUAUCUCCUAUGUUCUUCUCGUAGUUUGAAAUUACUAUUUUAAUGUUUUACAACAUAACUUUUGGAUGAAAAUAAAAAAUUUUAUGGUUUUGGUUUUUAUAG